CCUACGGGAGGCAGCAGUGGGGAAUAUUGGACAAUGGGCGCAAGCCUGAUCCAGCAAUGCCGCGUGAGUGAUGAAGGCCUUAGGGUUGUAAAGCUCUUUCGCACGCGACGAUGAUGACGGUAGCGUGAGAAGAAGCCCCGGCUAACUUCGUGCCAGCAGCCGCGGUAAUACGAAGGGGGCUAGCGUUGUUCGGAAUUACUGGGCGUAAAGGGCGCGUAGGCGGCCUGUUUAGUCAGAAGUGAAAGCCCCGGGCUCAACCUGGGAAUAGCUUUUGAUACUGGCAGGCUUGAGUUCCGGAGAGGAUGGUGGAAUUCCCAGUGUAGAGGUGAAAUUCGUAGAUAUUGGGAAGAACACCGGUGGCGAAGGCGGCCAUCUGGACGGACACUGACGCUGAGGCGCGAAAGCGUGGGGAGCAAACAGGAUUAGAUACCCCGGUAGUCCACGCCGUAAACGAUGAAUGCUAGACGUCGGGGUGCAUGCACUUCGGUGUCGCCGCUAACGCAUUAAGCAUUCCGCCUGGGGAGUACGGCCGCAAGGUUAAAACUCAAAGNUAGUGGACGUGAGACGUAGCGACGACGCACGACGGAGGUAGG
rnacentral:rRNA from 1 species